GACGAACGCUGGCGGCGUGCCUAACACAUGCAAGUCGAGCGAAUGAAGUUCCUUCGGGAACGGAUUUAGCGGCGGACGGGUGAGUAACACGUGGGCAACCUGCCUCAUAGAGGGGAAUAGCCUUCCGAAAGGGAGAUUAAUACCGCAUAAGAUUGUAGUACCGCAUGGUACAGCAAUUAAAGGAGCAAUCCGCUAUGAGAUGGGCCCGCGGCGCAUUAGCUAGUUGGUGAGGUAACGGCUCACCAAGGCGACGAUGCGUAGCCGACCUGAGAGGGUGAUCGGCCACAUUGGGACUGAGACACGGCCCAGACUCCUACGGGAGGCAGCAGUGGGGAAUAUUGCACAAUGGGGGAAACCCUGAUGCAGCAACGCCGCGUGAGUGAUGACGGCCUUCGGGUUGUAAAGCUCUGUCUUCAGGGACGAUAACGACGGUACCUGAGGAGGAAGCCACGGCUAACUACGUGCCAGCAGCCGCGGUAA
rnacentral:rRNA from 1 species